rnacentral:rRNA from 1 species
UACGUAGGGUGCGAGCGUUAAUCGGAAUCACUGGGCGUAAAGGGUGCGUAGGCGGCCUGGUAAGUCUGGCGUGAAAGCCCAGGGCUCAGCCCUGGAAGGGCGCUAGAAACUGCGAGGCUCGAGUGCCGGAGGGGAGAGUGGAAUUCCUGGUGUAGCGGUGAAAUGCGUAGAUAUCUGGAGGAACACCGGUGGCGAAGGCGGCAUUCUGGACCGACAUUGACGCUGAGGAGCGAAAGCCAGGGGAGCAAACGGG